AUGCCCGGGCUGGAGGAGGAGAUGUUCGUAGCCACCAUAGUCGCGCGAGAGUCGAAGGAGGAGGCCGCCAUGGCCACCGAAGUCGCGCCAGAGCCAGAGGAGAAGACCGUCGUCUUCCCCGAUUGGGUGAUGCUGAAUCGCUUCGGCCGCACCCACAGCCAUGCCGACCUAGACGCUGCACGUGAGGCGGCCAAUAAGAAGAAGACCGCCGUUGAAGUCGUCACGGCCACCGGCCACCGCUGCUUCUUGUCCUUCGCCCUCUCGGAUCCUCCAGAGGUCUCUUACCUCGAUCUCGAGUGGCCGCGGGAAGGCUCAGUCGAACCCGUGGCCCCCUCCCACCUGCCCGCGUAUCCCUACGUCCGGGCAACUGACGAGGACCUCGUCCUCUUCGAAAUCAACAUCCCAAGACAGCCCCACGACUUGCCGUCAGAUCUGUUCGUCUACACAGCUGGUCGUACCCCCUCGGUGGAUCAGCUCCCUCUGUACACUGAGCCCAUGGUAAGCCCGUUUCUGAUGUCAAAAUUCGACACAGGCAUCCUGCGCCUCCCGGACAACAGCUACAUCGUUUCCGACAUCAAGGUCUACCAUAAAGAGAAUGGCCCUGACAAUUAUUCCAUGUUUGUCGAGCUCUACGUCUUCAACUCCAAGACCAAAGAGUGGAAACGCUUCCCCAAGAUGCCUGCCCCCCAGCCGCAAGACGAGAGCAAUACCCAGUUCCCCAUCCUCUGGUCAACUGAGGAGGUGCUUGCUUUCGGCCACAGGUUCCUCUGCUGUGUCGACUACUUGAGCGGUGUCCUGCUAUGCGACUUCUCCAAUUUAGAGUCCCCGGUGCUCCACUUCGUGCCUUUCCCUGGAGGAGAUGGGUACUCUGAGAAGCUACAGAUCAUGCCUUUCCUUGGAGGAAAAGAGAACGCUAAGAAGGCACAGAUGGCAAAGUGCUUAGCGGAGAGAUUCCGACGUGUGUCCGUCAGCCAAGGCAUGAUGCACUUUGUCCGCAUUGAUGGCUGGCGUCCGCCUCUUGAGAGAAUCCAAGGGCAGCAGCAGCCUCUCCAAAAGAUCACAGUAUGGACUUUGGAUAUCGGGGAUGGUAGCAAGUUCAAGUGGAAGAUUCAUUGGGGGAUCAACCUGGAUCUUCUCUGGGCGCAAGAUGGUUUCCAUGCUCUGGACAUACCUCGCUGUCUUCCCCAGUUCCCAGUCGUCUGUGCGAACAAUCCGGACGCCCUAUGCUGCCUGUUGAGGAAAGAGGAACUUUCUGGACAGCCGUGGAUGAUCAUGGUUGACAUGAACCAGGAAGAUCUGCAGCCAUCUACUAAAUAUAUCAAUCAAAUCUUCUUUUCUCAUCUGCCCCUACUUCCAACUGUCUUCUCCAAAUACCUUGUAAGGCCAACAGUGAUACCCCGGGACAACAAGCUCAAGCUCGCAGCUAGCUCUUCAGAGGAGAUUAUGCCCAUAACUGGAGAAAGCUUAAGGUUGCAAUGUGAAUUCCAAGACCUGAAAACUGAUGACCCGGCUUGGAACCGUCUUCUGGUUGGUCACACAAAAGAUGGUAUUUGUCCUGAAUGUCAUGGGAAUGUCAUGGGAUGA
rnacentral:rRNA from 1 species